AGAGUGACUCUACUGGGAGCUGAGCCAUGAGACCCAGAGCAUCACCCAUCUGGGCUCCUUCACCCUGGACGGGGACAGCCUCUACGUCAGUGGUUACACCUAUGGAGCCAUGGCCCCAACUACCAACACUUUGGGGCACAACCUGAAGACCCUCAAAGUCAACGUCACCAUCUCCACCCUCUGGUAUUCCUCAGACAUGAGCAAAGACUAAGCCACGAUCAACUUCACUGAGAGGGUCCUGCAGAGCCUGGGGAGACCCUGGUCCCAGCAGCUCCUGGUGGGUUAAAUCCCACCCAGCC